rnacentral:rRNA from 1 species
CCUACGGGUGGCAGCAGUGAGGAAUAUUGGUCAAUGGGCGCGAGACUGAACCAGCCAAGUCGCGUGAGGGAAGACGGCCCUACGGGUUGUAAACCUCUUUUGCCGGGGAGCAAAGGGCGCCACGUGUGGCGCCACUGAGAGUACCCGGAGAAAAAGCAUCGGCUAACGCCGUGCCAGCAGCCGCGGUAAUACGGAGGAUGCGAGCGUUAUCCGGAUUUAUGGGGUUGAAAGGUGGCGUAGGCGGCGCGUUAAGUCAGUGGUCAAAUUGAGGGGCUCAACCCCUGCCCGCCAUUGAAACUGGCGCUCUUGAGUGGAAGAGAAGUAUGCGGAAUGCGUGGUGUAGCGGUGAAAUGCAUAGAUAUCACGCAGAACCCCGAUUGCGAAGGCAGCAUGUCGGCUUCCGACUGACGCUGAAGCACGAAAGCGUGGGGAUCGAACAGGAUUAGAUACCCCUGUAGUC